UGUCCCCCACUAUAGUAGUGGGGGACACAUUGUUUUUGCCCUGUCUGUUGGUCUGUCUGUUGGUCUGUCUGUUGGUCUGUCUGUUGGUCUGUUUGCGCCAACUUUAACAUUUUGCAAUAAAUUUAGCUAUAUUGAAGAUAGCAACUUCAUAUUUGGCAUGCAUGUGUAUCUCAUGAAGCUGCACAUUUUGAGUGGUGAAAGGUCAAGGUCAAGGUCAUCCUUCAAGGUCAGAGGUCAAAUAUAUGUGGCCAAAAUCGCUCAUUUUAUGAAUACUUUUGCAAUAUUGAAGAUAGCAAUUUGAUGUUUGGCAUGCAUGUGUAUCUCAUGGAGCUGCACAUUUUGAGUGGUGAAAGGUCAAGGUCAAGGUCAUCCUUCAAGGUCAGAGGUCAAAUAUAUGUGGCCCAAAUGGCUUAUUUUAUAAAUACUUUUGCAAUAUUGAAGAUAGCAACUUGAUAUUUGGCAUGCAUGUGUAUCUCAUGGAGCUGCACAUUUUGAGUGGUGAAAGGUCAAGGUCAAGUUCAUCCUUCAAGGUCAGAGGUCAAAUAUAUGUGGCCCAAAUCGCUUAUUUUAUGAAUACUUUUGCAAUAUUGAAGAUAGCAACUUGAUAUUUGGCAUGCAUGUGUAUCUCAUGGAGCUGCACAUUUUGAGUGGUGAAAGGUCAAGGUCAAGGUCAUCCUUCAAGGUCAGAGGUCAAAUAUAUGUGGCCAAAAUCGCUCAUUUUAUGAAUACUUUUGCAAUAUUGAAGAUAGCAACUUGAUAUUUGGCAUGCAUGUGUAUCUCAUGGAGCUGCACAUUUUGAGUGGUGAAAGGUCAAGGUCAAGGUCAUCCUUCAAGGUCAGAGGUCAAAUAUAUGUGGCCCAAAUCGCUUAUUUUAUGAAUACUUUUGCAAUAUUGAAGAUAGCAACUUGAUAUUUGGCAUGCAUGUGUAACUUAUGGAGCUGCAUAUUUUGAGUGGUGAAAAGUCAAGGUCAUCCUUCAAGGUCAGAGGUCAAAUAUAUGUGGCCCAAAUCGCUUAUUUUAUGAAUACUUUUGCAAUAUUGAAGAUAGCAACUUGAUAUUUGGCAUGCAUGUGUAUCUCAUGGAGCUGCACAUUUUGAGUGGUGAAAGGUCAAGGUCAAGGUCAUCCUUCUAGGUCAAAUAUAUGGGUCAAAAUUGCUCAUGUAAUGUAACUUCUGCAAUAUUGAAGCUAGCAAUUUUAUAUUUGACAUGCAUGUGUAUCUCAUGGAGCUGCACAUUUUGAGUGGUGAAGGGUCAAGGCCAAGGUCAUCCUUCAAGGUCAAACAUCAUAUAGGGGGACAUUGUGUUUCACAAACACAUC